rnacentral:rRNA from 1 species
GAUUGGAAGUAAAAGUCGUAACAAGGUCUCCGUUGGUGAACCAGCGGAGGGAUCAUUACCGAGUUAUUACUCCAAACCCUUUGUGAACCUUACCUUUUUGUUGCUCGGCGCACCGCGGGCCGCGGCUUCGGCCCGUCCCGCAGCGCGCCAGAGGACCCAACUCUUCAAUUUAUAGCGUACCUUCUGAUUUACAAAACAAACAAGUUAAAACUUUCAACAACGGAUCUCUUGGUUCUGGCAUCGAUGAAGAACGCAGCGAAAUGCGAUAAGUAAUGUGAAUUGCAGAAUUCAGUGAAUCAUCGAAUCUUUGAACGCACAUUGCGCCCGCCAGUAUUCUGGCGGGCAUGCCUGUUCGAGCGUCAUUUCAACCAUCAAGCCCCAGGCUUGUGUUGGGGACCUGCGGCUGCCGCAGGCCCUGAAAACCAGUGGCGGGCUCGCUGUCACACCGGGCGUAGUAGAUUUUAUCUCGCUCAGGGCGUGCUGCGGGUUCCGGCCGUUAAAAGCCUUUUUUACCCAAGGUUGACCUCGGAUCAGGUAGGAAUACCCGCUGAACUUAAGCAUAUCAAUAAGCGGAGGA